rnacentral:rRNA from 1 species
GGGUCAAUAGGUUGGUCGUGCCACCGGUACGUACUGGUCACACUGAUUCCUCCUUCCUGAAGAACCGUAAUGCCAUUAAUUUGGUGUUGCGGGGAAACAGGACUGUUACUUUGAAAAAAUUAGAGUGUUUAAAGCAAGCUAACGCUUGAAUACAUUAGCAUGGAAUAAUGAAAUAGGACGAUCGAUCCUAUUUUGUUGGUUUCUAGGAUUGACGUA